CUUGCAAGGAGAGGGAGUGGGCCUCCCUCUGACCUACACACUUUGCCCUUCUGCACACACUAUGAGCAACCCGGCCAAGGAGAUCAAGAACAGAAACAGCAG